CACUGUUCAUAAUACAUAAAUUAUUAGGGGUAAGAUUAAACACGCUGAUGUGAAAAUGGUGGAAGGUAUUCUAAUCUGGAAUCCUCUUAGAUUCCACCGGAGAUGGUAAAUUUGAAAGCCAUAGGAUCAUAUGUAACAGAGGUCUCAGCAAAACUGAGUUAGAUUAAGCUAAACGAAAAUUUGUUAUAUGAAAUUAGGAAGCUCACCAGUUUCCCUGGACGACUAGAGUCAGACGGAGAGCUCCCAGACUGCACUCAGAGGGCUGCCUGUGGAAAGGUUAGACAUUUUCUCCUGAAGAAUCCUUGCCACCAGCAGUUUCGUCGCUCAGCUCAUUGGCCGUAAAGCAGUUUUGCCGUAAAAGAUAAAAUAACUGAUUGACGGUUUGGUUUCAAUUGGUUAACAGUUUGAUUUUAUUUCUCUAUUGAUACAUUACUAUUUUUAUGAUAUAUGUAUAUUUCAGGCCUCAUAAUGACCUAAACAGUGAGGCGUAAGCCUGGUGGUAUUAAAAGAGUGGAUGGUAACAACCUCAUUUAUCGACCUGAUAGAAAAUAUGGUGAUAAGAAAACUUACUGGAAGUGUGAAAUAAGCAUGUAAAGCCAGAAUGCAUACUACACUAGAAAAUAGCACAUCAGUUUGUAAAUCUUUUCAGUGAGCAUCGUCAUCCCUAUCAGUCCUCAAAAAGCAAAGUUUGCCAAGCUAUGGAGAAUAUAAAAGAGGGAGCCUCGGGUUCACAGCAGUCUUUGGGAGCAUUAAUGACAGAUUCUUUAGCUAAUUUGGGUAAUAGCUGUUGUUCUCUCAUGCCCUCUUUUCCAAAUUUAUUUUAGAAGCUAGAGGCAAAAGAAGAAUCAACCCUUCCUAUCCCUCCAAAAGAUGCAGUUGUGUCGUUCCUGAUGAGUACAGCUUUCUCGAAAAUGAGCCAAGACACAGAGCUGGGGUCUCCACUGGUGCCCAAGGCCUGCCCAGAGACUACUAGAACCCAAUGUCACAGGAGGCACACCCAGAUUCUUGUACUCAUGUUACCUAAACCUGAAACCCUCAAAGUACUUAAAGAGAUGUCAGCAAAAGAGCUAUUUGUGGUUUUCACUUGCUUUUAUUUAAGUCAACUUUACCAUACAGCUCAGACUGGAGUUGCUGAGGAUCUGGUACACUCACAGUGUUCAAAAUCAUCGCUGUUCUUGGCAUGAACCAGGUAUAUCUUAGUUUCAUUUUUUCUUAGGACAAUUUCUUUCCCAAGGAUCUCAUUGGUCACUAAUGCAAAUAGACAGCUGAGGAGCCUGAGCUUUCAGUCUCCAGGCAGGCCUGAUUGCUAAGGGCAGCACAGCUUUGGAUCCAGCUUGACCCUUAUUAAUAAUGAUCUUGCCUGCCUUCCAAGGCCAUAUGGUCUAGAUGUGAUAGGCACAUAGCCUGACUGAUUAUUUCAACUCUCUGUGCUAAGUGAUACAGUAAAAGAACAUCAUAAGAGUCAUUUAACUAAAUGUAGAGAAUCCCAAUGGACUUCCUCAGAGACAGGAAGCCUUGUUUGAUGCCUGAAGCAUGAACACAUUAUACUUCAUUCCAUUUUCAGCAAUGCCAAAUUCUCCUUCCCAAUCAAGAUGAAUUAGAGAAAUGUAAGAAACGAAAAUACAGCCCCAGAGUCUCAGGGGCUCCAGUUUCUGGAAAUGGGUGGUAAUAGCCAUGUAAAGGCCUGGGAAAGAUGGAUAAAGUCAUUUCAGGACAAACUCCUAGUAGCUGUUGUGCACACAAUUACUUCAGACCUUUAGCUGAAUAAUUCAUGCCUAUCUUGAAGUUUAGAGCUCCUCUCUGGACCACUGGCACACUGCACUGAGAAGGAUGUUCAUGAGACAUGUGGAGUUUGGUCAGCAUGACCUUCAUGGGUGAAGAGUAAGGGGGAACACCAGGAAUGCCACAUAUUUUCUCCCCCUGCCUAAUUUCUGGAUAAAUUUCAAGUCAUAUAUUUUCUAUGAGAUCCAUCAACCAAAUUUUGUAUCUAAUAUUUCCCUAAGACUUGCUUCAAGAGUUGAUUCGACAGUUAGCAAUGAAGGCAAAACCUAAGCAGUUUUAUUUGGGAAACUUGGGAAUCCUUUACAUUUGUAUAAACCCUAAAAGAAAUAUCUAAUCUAAAGAAGACAGCUGCUAGUAUUUUGAUGGAGCUGAUCUUUACUUCCAAGGUGAGCCAGUUAAAAACAAUCUCAACUGUGACCCAUGGAAAUGUGGCUAAUCUUAUUUUUAAUAUAAAACUAUGGAUUGCUUUCAUAUUUUUCCAUGAACAAUUCUAAAGUGAAUCCUCUCAAACAUUUUGUCUUCUGGGAGGAUUUAACUGAGUUUUGGUUCCAUCCACGAAGGAUUGAGGGGGAAGAUUUGAGUGUGGAAUAAAGGCUUGGUCUCAGACA
rnacentral:lncRNA from 1 species